GCGGUCAAUUGGAGCUUGUCGGCCGGAGGUCAGCUCACCACGGCCUGCGCGCGGUGUGGUCGGCGUGGCCAUUAAUACAGGGGAAAAAAGCAGGAACUGUUCAAAUACUGACCUGGAAGAGUCUGCAUUUAUUGUACUGUGUGUCCGAGCCUGGGAAAUAUGGACACAGAGACAGACACACACAGAAGAAAGACAAUGUGAAGAGCUACAGAGAGAAGAGAGCUGUCUACAAGCCAAGGGAAGAGGCCUGGAACAGAUUCUCCCUCACAUCCCUCAGAAGGAACCCUCUCUGCCAAUACCUUGUUUUCAGACUUCCAGUUUCCGGAACCAU